rnacentral:lncRNA from 1 species
AGUCCUAAGGCACAAGGUUUUCUAAUUCUAUUCUAUUUUAGUAAACCCAUUACGCUAAAUUAGGAUUAUGCACAAUUCUAUUGAGAUUAUUUUUAAUUUUAUCAAAUUUUAUUAGUCACUAAUAUAAAUAUAUUUUAUUACAUUGAUUUGGUGUGGUGGAUCGAAAAGAAUGUGAGGGCUAUUUUGAAAUUAGGGAUUUGUGGGAGAAAUAUCUUUUGUACACCACUUUAGUUAUAAUAAUAAUAGUUUUCACCCUGUCUUCGUCCAUAAAUGUAAGCCAGUAGUCGAAUCACGUAAAUAUUUGUAUGCGUUACUUUUAUUCUCUCUUUUUCGAUUUUCUUUUGAUAUUUUUGCACUCGUUGAAUUAAAUUCUUUUCGCCUUUGUUGUCGUAAGUGUGACUACUAUAUUUGCUGGGCAAAAAGGU